rnacentral:rRNA from 1 species
GAUCAUGGCUCAGGACGAACGCUGGCGGCGUGCUUAACACAUGCAAGUCGAACGAGAAUCUAUUGAAGGAGUUUUCGGACAACGGAUAUAGAGGACAGUGGCGGACGGGUGAGUAACGCGUGAGGAACCUGCCUUUCAGAGGGGGACAACAGUUGGAAACGACUGCUAAUACCGCAUAACAUAUAGAUGUCGCAUGGCAUUUAUAUCAAAGAUUUAUCG